GUCAUUUGCAAAAGCAAGGAGAAUUUCUUUUGUGCAAAUCGAAGUAAAAAUUGAAUUUCCUAUCCAUAAAAGUGCAGAAAUGUCGACUGAUUGGGAUGAAAUAAAGCGUUUGGCAGCUGAUUUCCAAAAAGUCCAGCUCUCUUCAACGCUACAAAGGCUUUCAGAAAGGAACUGUAUUGAGGUUGUUUCAUUACUGUUGGAGAAGGGGCUUCUUGAAAUAAUCUACACGAACGAUGGCAAAGAAUAUCUUACACCGGAUCAAUUGUCUACGGAGAUUCAAGAUGAAUUAUAUGUGAAUGGAGGCCGCGUCAACUUGACGGAAGUCUCAAAUACUUUGAACGUGGAUCUGAAUAAGAUAACGGGGAUCGCUAAUAAGAUAACUCAACGGAACAAGAGUGUUCACUUAAUUUUGGGACAAUUAAUCAACGAGGAUUAUAUUCAGCGGCUGGCUUUGGAGAUCAAUGAAAAACUCAUUCAAAGUGGUGAAAUAUCGGCUGCUGCUCUGGCCGAACAGUACGAUUUGCCAUCUGAUUUUAUUUUGCAGAAGAUUAUUGAACCGAAUGUCGGUAAAACAAUCCUGGGAAAGAGAGAUUCAUCGGAUCCUAAAGUCUUUUUCACGCAAACCUACAUUUCACGAUGUAAGGCCAAAAUUCGAGGUGCUCUAUCUGCACUGUCGCGUCCAACGCCCAUUUCGUCGAUCUUGGGUCAAUGCAAGAUAAAAGAAAAAAUAUUCUACUCCCUUGUUGACGAGAUCUCAUUUGAUGGGAGCGUGACAUCGAAGAUGUCUGGCGCUCAGUACAUUCCCAAUGUGUAUAAGAAGGCCCAGAAUGAAUGGGUGACAUCCUUAUUUAAGCAAAACGGAUAUGUGCAACAUGAUACUCUCUCACAUUUUGGAAUAUCUGAUAUUAAGGUGUUUAUUCAGCGACAGCUGCCUAAUGAAAACUUGGUACACUUGAAAAAGUGUACUGUAGGCAAGAGAUUUGUUGAGCAACUGGAAGCUGCCAUUGAGGAAUGUGUAUCUAGUGGGUCGUAUUUGGAUGUCACGACUAUCCUCCCAACCGAUUUGACACAGGAGGACAUUGACAAAUUGCUAGAAACCGCUAUAAAGCCCACAACGUCAAGGAGUAUUCUGGUACUAGACACAACCAUUUUCACCAAUGCCUUCCUAGAUCGUCUCGUAGCGCCCGUAAAGCAGAUCAUUGAAGAUAAUGUGAAGAAGGCGGUCGAAAGUGGUAUAUAUCAACAAUACUUGGUGGAGAAAUUAUCUUCGAGUCGACAGAUUGGGUAUCAAGAAGGAACAGGUGAUGCAAAGGCAGAUCGACGAGAAGAGAGACGUCGAAAAGCUGCAGUUGGGAAAGGUGGUGGGGGUACACAAGGUCGUGAGACCAAGACCAAGUCCACGAAAAAACAUUACAGAGGUGGAGGGGGUGAUAAAGGAGGAUUUAACUCGGAUUCUGAUGAUAAUAACCAUAAUAACAGAACUUCAAAGAAAAAGUCAACAAACAUGGAUUUGAUUACUUUGAAGGAAAUAAUUCAAGUUGUUGAGUCAUCUUUGAACUGUGAAGAAUUGUGCUACCUUGCAAAAGAUAUAGCGCUUCAUUUCUAUCCGCAAUAUAGUAAGGAGGCACUCCAGAAGGCAAAUCAAGUAUAUGAGGCGAGUUUGCAGAAUUCCACGCAGAAUCGUCGUCAAACACAUGCGUCACUACAAGAGAAGUUAAAUAAUCUUCUCACUGAUGUGCGUCUGUACGAGAAGGGACUGAAGCUCUUCCCCUCUGACGACCAACAGCAAUUGAUCAAGUAUCUGCUAAAGACUCUCGGCACGGAAAUCUGCAAUGAGCUUUUCUUUUAUGUAGCCAUGGAGUGUAGUCUCAAUUUUAGCUCAUCUUCUCUCAUGCCAGAUCAGAGAAGUAGCAUUAUACAGGAAUGUGGUCAGGAGUACAAGUCCGCUCUGGCGUCUCUUAACAAAAGUCUUGGCGGACAAUCUGUAGAUGAUUUUCUUAUGGUGUCUGAAAAUGCAUUGCAAGAGUGUAGUAUGAUUCUGAAGAAAGUCGACAAGAAGAAAGAUCGAUCAGUCAUCUUAGCACACAAGUACGGUCUUCUUGAGCAACUGGGCAAUUGCUCUGAUCCUGCACUUGUUCUUCACUUGACGUGUCUCGUCAUCUUUACUAUCUCUACGCAGUGUAUGCUACACGCUUCGGGGCGCCAUGUGGCAACCAUUCUGACCUUUUUACAACCACAAUUGCAAACUGAACAGGCUCAACUUCUUAUGAAAUAUCACGAUCUCGUGUUGAAGGUCUUGACUGCGCCUGAGGGAGAUGUUGAAGCGAAAUCGGAAAUGCUUUGUCAGCUUGAGGACUUGACACCGGCCGUAAAGGAUUUGGCGUCCUCUUUCAAGAAGACUACAUUGUCGACAAAUGAAUAAUAUGCGGUUCAAGAACACGUCAAUUGCUGGACUAUGUGUCGUAUAAAAUUUAAUUAGCAUCGUGGCAAUUUUGCCCGCCCGCAAUAAAUUAUGGCUUGGCAGCAAACAGAGAAAUUGCCCUGACUCGACAUUCCAAUGUGUGUACUUUAAUGGAAAAAAGGUGGAAACUUUUUGACCAGCACAAUUAACUUGGGUGACUUUUGCGUCAAAUAGAUUGAGUGCGAUCUGAGAUCCAAAGUCUACUAGAGUGUGAAAGAGUGUGAGAAUGGCACGACUUUUGGGAACGGCGAAGUCAGACUUUCCAAUGGUUCCCUGGGCAACGACAAGCACAACAAGCAGGCGAAGGUGGUGG